rnacentral:rRNA from 1 species
ACGUGUAGGCGGUCAAGUAAGUCAGAGGUGAACCACCGGCUCAACCGGUUGAACUGCCUUUGAAACUGCAUGACUUGAGUACGGGAGAGGAGAGCGGAAUUCCAGGUGUAGCGGUGAAAUGCGUAGAUAUCUGGAAGAACACCGGUGGCGAAGGCGGCUCUCUGGCCCAGUACUGACGCUGAGGCGCGAAAGCCAGGGGAGCGAACG